rnacentral:rRNA from 1 species
UACGUAGGGGGCAAGCGUUGUCCGGAUUUAUUGGGCGUAAAGAGCGUGUAGGCGGCUGGGUAGGUCCGUUGUGAAAACUCGAGGCUCAACCUCGAGACGCCGAUGGAAACCCUCCAGCUAGAGUCCGGAAGAGGAGAGUGGAAUUCCUGGUGUAGCGGUGAAAUGCGCAGAUAUCAGGAAGAACACCCGUGGCUAAGGCGGCUCACUGGACCGGAACUGACGCUGAGGCGCGAAAGCGUGGGGAGCAAACAGG